AUUGAACGCUGGCGGCAUGCUUUACACAUGCAAGUCGAACGGUAACAGGCCUUCGGGUGCUGACGAGUGGCGAACGGGUGAGUAAUGCAUCGGAACGUACCCAGAGGUGGGGGAUAACGCAGCGAAAGCUGUGCUAAUACCGCAUGUGAUCUGAGGAUGAAAGCGGGGGACCGAGCAGCAAUGUUUGGCCUCGCGCCUUUGGAGCGGCCGAUGUCGGAUUAGCUAGUUGGUGGGGUAAAGGCCUACCAAGGCGACGAUCCGUAGCUGGUCUGAGAGGACGACCAGCCACACUGGGACUGAAACACGGCCCAGACUCCUACGGGAGGCAGCAGUGGGGAAUUUUGGACAAAGGGCGCAAGCCUGAUCCAGCAAUGCCGCGUGCGGGAAGAAGGCCUUCGGGUUGUAAACCGCUUUUGGCAGGAACGAAACGGUGUCCGCUAAUACCGGGCGCUAAUGACGGUACCUGCAGAAUAAGCACCGGCUAACUACGUG
rnacentral:rRNA from 1 species